AUAGAGACAGAGAGAGGGAGGAGAGAGAGAGAGAUGUUCUCAGACAUUCUUUGGAGACGGAAGUGUUUCUAUAGCAACCUUCCAGACUGUCCUGAAUCUUCUGACAUCAGGCAUUGGCUACGUCCAAAACUGUACUACUUUACUAACUAGUAGUCUAUAUAUGCUAUCAUCAUCUAUUUUUGUACAGUAGUAUGUGUUUUGGACGUGCAUAACGUUCUGCCUUAAGUUCUUUUUUCUGAUAGACAACACCAGGUUGCUUUUAAUGUUGCUGCUUUCUACAUAACGCCGACCAAGUAAUGUAGCCUAAAUAGAAACACGAGAUUAGAUUAGAUUAGAUUGGAUUAGAUUGGAUUGGAGUAGAUUAAACUAGAUUAGAUUGGAUUAGAUUAGAUUAGAUUAGAUUAGAUAGGCCUAUUCGGCAGCUAUAGAAGCCCAAGUUAUACUUUUAGCAAAGUCUAACUGUAAGCAACAGAACAUUGUGGCUUAAUCCUGACUUGACUUGUCGCUCCCUGUUGCUGUCUUUGGGCUCGGCGGUCAUGAUAGAAACAAAUGUCAUGUGCAUUGCAUCUGAUUUGGAGACAUUUUCACAUCACAAAGGGGGAAAAAUAACAAACGGAGGACAACCAUCACUAUGACUGUCAUGUGCGUCUGUCGCGAGGCGCAGAAACCUGGAAUCUUAUUGGCUGGAUUAGGAGUUUCGGCGACCAAUCACUGAUCGGUAAAGGGAAAUAAUGGAACCGCUUUGAUCUGCUUUGGAACUUCUUUCCUGCAGAAGCUGUGGAGCAACUUGACAAAAGGAGCAGAAACCUUUUCAAGAUCAAAAACUGAAAAGAGCUAGAAUAGUCAGUGGAAUCAGAACAGCCUCGCCAACGUGUGGAUUUGAAGAUCAACUAGAAGAAGAGGUUGCUUCACACGUCAAAAGUCCAAUCAAAUAAAAAGAGUGUGAGUAUGGUCACAUUCGGUGGAGAACCAUAAACAGUUUUCUUGCAGGAGCUGAGAGCACCUCUAAGAAUCCAUGAUAUUGGGAUAAUUUUCACCCAUGGAGUCUAAGUGAAUUUCAAGAUGAAGAAAAACUGACACAGUCUAAAGAUAGCAAGUGGCUUACACACUGAACUGAACUGAUUUAGUGGAGAAUUUACUUGAAUUACAAAUCAUAUUCAUACAUGAUUUAAGAGACACUGUGUUCCUGAUGUAUUGUAGGCUAUAAAAACAGGAGUGUGUGAGUACGAGUGUGUUUGUAUGUUCUCACAGAUACAAAUCAAAAAUAUGGCACAUAGAAAAGUUGCAUAUCAUCUGCUAUACCAAAACAUACGAUUGCAUGUUUGAAAACAGAGCAUGCAAUCAGACAUAACAAUUCGUCAGUUAAAUGCUUCAAAUCUGUUCAUUAAUGAAUAUGGAAGCAAUAGCAAAUCGAAAAAAGUUCCAUUGUUUGACAGCUGAGGAUAACAUUGUUAAAUCUAUAUCUUUGAAUCUUUCACUUUUUUAUGGACAUCAAAUCGGUUAGACUGGUGACACUUUUUUAAACAUGCCUGCUGAAUUCGGGGAAUGAUUUUUUUUCUUUCUCAUUAAAGAUUUUGCCUUCAAAGAGUGGAUGAACGUUAGAAUAUUCAGAUCAUCUGAACAGCCUCAGUCCCCCUUUCAACUAUGUUGGCACAGGGCAAAAGCUGCAAGCUUGUGAUUUUACAUUAUUUUUUCUUUUUUAUGACCUGUUCAUAUUGUUUGAAAUAACCUGUAGAUCAGAAUGCUGUAUCACCUGUCAUGUAAAGCAUCUACCUCAAUGUUGUGAUCUUCAUUUCUGCCAAAAGAUUCACCCUGGGAAAGCAGCAUGGGUCAUGUGACUGGGCCAUCAUUAAAGCAAUGUGUUGUUUAUUCUGCCGUGCAGUCAGAAGCAGUUAUGUAUCUUGUUCAAAAUAGCAUGACUCACUUGUCCUUAUUGUCCAUUCUAGACGGCUGUUGCCUAUGCAUUGCUUACUGUUGUGUCUACAUACAGUAUACUCUCAUCCAUGCCAGUGCCACCUUGUAUCCUGUUUGGUACAGUUAUGCAAAGUCUUUAAUUCAAUAUCUGACCUUAAUCAACAGGUAGGUUGUAGUGUAAGGGUGUCGUUCAUAUCAGUUCAGUGUCGUUCAUCGGUACAUUGCACAGCAUCCAACUGUUAAAUCUGUUUUUUUGGUGUAGUGUAUGUCAAGCAGAAUUAAUAUUACACUGUAUUGUAUAUAAUCUGUUUCCAUCCAAGUCAACUUUAUCCAUAUAGAAGAGAAAUCUGCAGUUAUAAUAUGCAACACGGAAUCUACAAAUACGCAAACUAAAUCUAUGGAAUAAUGGAUACAGCAUUCAAAACGCACAUCUCUACACAAAUGUUCUGCAGUAAGCAUAGUUUCUUAAGCCAGCAUGUUGCUAAAGUAUGUCAAAAGCCUUCCUAUAUGAUGGCAAGAAAGACAGAGAUAUGGAUUUCUUUGUCCACAUAUUAGCUUAAACAGACAUGAAGCAAUGGGACUGUAUGAAGAAAAGCAAUAGUAUAGAAUAUGAUGCUUUUCAGUCAAUAUACACCUUGAGGUCUUCCUAGAGGAAGCAAAAUAUCUUUUGUUUCCUGUAAAUACGUAUUUUCUUAUUUCCCCUGCUGUUCUAUUUCAUCUAUACCUAUUUUGAUAAAUAUUUUUUUGUAUUUUGUUUUACUGAUGAUUGCAUAUGGACUGUGUAGAAGUUUGAGAUGGUGAUUAUUGGCUUACUAAUGAUGGAUGGAUGGAUAGAUAGAUGGAUGGAUGGAUGGAUGGAUGGAUGGAAAAAUAAAUUUGAAAUAAGUUAUUAUAUAAGGGGAUGGGUAUUCAAUUAACAACAUAUUGUAUAACUGUGCAAAGUACCUUAUCAUAUUUUGCACAUAUACUCACCUAAUUAGGACGGGCUUAUGACCAUAGAUUUUAGUGCAGCAGGACAACACUGAAAAUACUAAAUUAUAUCAAGUGCUCAUCACAUCUGCCGACUAUGCCAUAAGAUACUAUCUGGUGAGUAACAACAUAUUAGGAAGCUGAGCGUUCAUACCGAGUCAUGUUCAAGAUGGAGAACUUGAAAAAGUUACAUUUUCUACAAGAGAAUUUGCCUCAUUUCUAAAGAAAUCCGACCUGUUUCAACAUCUCAGAUGUGCAUAUCUUUUAAUCAUGGCUUUAGUAAUAUCAGAUUAAUAGUUUAACAGUUCAAAUUGUGCAAUUAGGAUCGUUUCUAUUGGCUGAUAUUUGAAAAAACUUCAGCUGUUUGAUACAGCAGGUAUGAUUUCUAAAGCAGUGUACAAUAAAUAAAUACAAUUAUUUAACUGUCCUUUAAUCUUCCCCUUCUUAUUUAAAAUGUCUAUAGUGAUAUUCUGUCUAUUCGUGAUUCCGGUCUCAGUGGACCUCUGUUAGUGCUAGCUGUAUGUACCAUUUUGACUCUAUGUAACAAAACAAGUCAAUCAAAUUCUAUGAAAUAACUACAUUUAAUAAAAAAAAUUGUUGGCCACUCAAUCAAGAAAAUUAGUAUUUCAACAGAAAUUAAAAUUAAUUGCAUUGUAAAUGAAAAGUUAAUAUUUAAUAAAUGGCUGAUGUAUAUGAUUAACUUAUUAUUUGCCCCACUUGUUCCCAAGAGCAAGCCACCAAGCAAAACUCCAUCUUUUUUAUAGAAGCCUUUAUUUUGUCACAUAUACAUUACAGCAAUGUGAAACUCUUUCUUCGCAUAUCCCAAAUUAGGAGGCUGGGAUCAGCCAUGAUACAGCUCCCCUGGAGCAGAGACGGCUAGGGGCCUUGCUCAAGGGCCCAAAAGUAGUAGCUUGGCAAUGCAAGUUCUUGAACUCCAAUCCUCUAAUCAACAACCCAGAGCCGUAACCGCUUGAGACACCACUGCACCCUGCAAAACUCCUUGAUAUUAUAAAGAACAUUUGCUUGCAAUACGUUCUGUGAACUAGAGUGGUUUAACUGCAUUGGCAUACAUGUUCUGAUGUGUUCAGUAUGCCUUUGAACCUAUAUGAAUGCAGUGCUGUAUGUCAAGAUGUUCUAGAGCUUUAAAAACAAAACAUGAUUUCAUACUGGACCGAACAAACAUCAAAUAUCAAUUCAUGGUACUCCCUACUCUCUAUUUUCAAACUAUUCCAGAUCUUGAGGGCUGCAUAUAUUUAGCCACCACAAAAUGGGAUUAGCUAACUGAGAUGGAGCAUAGCUUUCAUCAGCUACUGACUGACCCAAUUACAGAAAAAGUAGUCGGGUGUUAUUAGUGCAACGAGUUUUAUCAUGGCUGAAGUUAAGGUGAUGAAUUUAUCCUGGGGUGCAUGCAGUCUCUAUCAGUUUUACACAGUUCUUCACUAAAAGGUGAAUAUGUGACUGCCCUUAAGUAUUGGUACACUUGAGAGGCACAAACGUGUUGCAGAGAAACUCAAAGUCCUUUGACAGAAAUUGAUCUAUAAAAUCACAGAUCUUUAAAUGUGGACACAUUCAUAUCUCGCAUGCUUUUGCACAGUAAAUCUUUUUCCAUCUGUCUCUAAUGGGUGUACAAUUGCAGAAAAUUAAUCAUAUGGCUUAAUAGGGAUGUGCAAUGCUAUAUUUCCAUAGAUAUGUCAUGUUAAUAAUGAUUGUACAUGAUACAGUCAGAGAUUUAGUCAUAUAUUCAGCGUGCAAUGGUAUUCUUGUGUACUGUAUGUAUAUGCCAUCUUGAAAAGCAAACGGUAGAUUUAGAUCAUAUAAUGUAACAUUUAUAUCCAGUUCAUUUCCACCUUCUUUUAUACAUCUAUAUUUUCUGAAGCUGUCAUGAGGAAUGAUGUUGAGAACAAAGAGUUUAUGCAGUUAAAUCUUUAGACUAUAUUUAUAGUUAGCUAUGAGCAGGUUCCUAGUUAUGUAUGGUGAGCAAUAAUGUAUGUUAUAACCAUGAGCAAAUCAUAAGAACAUUGUGCAACAAAAAUGGUUAAGCUGCAACACAUUACUGCACACAUGCUGUCUGGCUGUAUUUGCAUACAUACCCUUAAAUGGUGCCUUACAUACAGUAUAUUGUGUCAUAUUGUUAUUUGUUAUCAAAAUCUCAUUGAUCAUAGUAUACAUAGAAGUAGUUUAUAUGUGCUGUUGUUUAGAUGAUGUAGAUGUAGAUCCUGUGGAUUGAAAGGUGGACGCUAGAUGCCUGAUCUAUCAACAUCACAAUAAAACAAAGUAAAUAGACUACCGAAUGUAAAAGUCCUCCAGGAUGGUAUUCUGGCACAAUCUGUGUCUUACAAUAUUAAGAUCCAUUAAAGAUCAAUUUGGAGACUGUCAUAUUCCAUCGAGACCUCUCAAUGCUUUAUCAUGAAAAGUACCAAAAUAAGCAAAUUGAUAUGAAACCAUAACAAACAGCCAGAUUUCUAGAGGUUCCCAGCAUUGUAGAUCAGGCAAAACCACACAACACAUACAUAGUCAGUUUAUAAUGAGGUCUGACCCUACCUCCCACCUUAAGACUGUGUGAUUUUUUUUUUUAAGGAAAAAUAGUUACAAAACAGUAUAAUGUAAGCAAUGGCUUAAUCCAACUAGAAGAAACUGCAUAACUUUUCUCUUUAAGAAUUUGCUGUCAGGAAAUAAAGCAUUACUAAAACGCUGGUGCAUUUCUGAAAUUUCCACAUUACAUUUCUUCAAAUUAUUGCAGAGACUAUAUUGUCCAGUAUUCAGUCCUACGUGAUUCUGUGUUUAUGUGUACUUUCCGCACAUGCAAGCAUGUGCUAAUGCAGGUACUGGCCUACAGUGGAGCCUUGUCCAUUUAUACCAUGUUAACACUGUGCAGUCUUUUAUCAUACAUGAAGUAUGAGCUUCAAGUAUCUCCGUGAGUGGUCACUGUGUCUCGUCCUGCUUCUGUACUGUACCAUUAGCCAUCAUUCGUGACGUGUUUUGUAGUGUCUUCUGUCUUGUUUAGGUAAGAUGAGUGCGUGAUGGAUUAAAUGUGUGGUUAAAUAUGUAUAUUGUGUGAAAUACAGUAAAUUAGCAUAUACUGGUAGAGAGUAUAUUCUACAGCUAAAAUAAUGUAUAUAUGUAUGAUCUGUAAACGUACAUAGCAUAUGUACGCAAUAAAAUCAAUUUGAAUAAAA